rnacentral:rRNA from 1 species
GACGGGGGCCCGCACAAGCGGUGGAGCAUGUGGUUUAAUUCGAUGCAACGCGAAGAACCUUACCUGGUCUUGACAUCCACAGAACUUUCCAGAGAUGGAUUGGUGCCUUCGGGAACUGUGAGACAGGUGCUGCAUGGCUGUCGUCAGCUCGUGUUGUGAAAUGUUGGGUUAAGUCCCGCAACGAGCGCAACCCUUAUCCUUUGUUGCCAGCGGUCCGGCCGGGAACUCAAAGGAGACUGCCAGUGAUAAACUGGAGGAAGGUGGGGAUGACGUCAAGUCAUCAUGGCCCUUACGACCAGGGCUACACACGUGCUACAAUGGCAUAUACAAAGAGAAGCGACCUCGCGAGAGCAAGCGGACCUCAUAAAGUAUGUCGUAGUCCGGAUUGGAGUCUGCAACUCGACUCCAUGAAGUCGGAAUCGCUAGUAA